UACUUCAAUUUCUCGUCUCUCUCUCUCUCUCUGCGAAAUUCUACCGCCUUCCUUUUAGUGUAGGAUGUAUGCAUUUCAGAUCUAAUCUCGCAGUCGCCGCCCAACAUUCUCUCUUUCUUCACAUUAAUCUCACCGCUGAUUAAGGAUGAUGGCCAGAAGUGCUGUUGCUUGUGCAAUUGAUCUCAUUCAUGGAAGAGGAUUUCUCAAUCGAUGGUCGCAUAAAUCGGGUAUUCUCUCUCCUUCUUUCUCUCUCUUCUCUUCGGAGGCUUUUCAACCUAAGCGGCCCACAAUUGAUUUCAGUUGUGUUAAAGAAGUAGACCAUGUUAUUGAAUUGUUUCGAAAAAUAAAGAGUUUGCGGCCAGAGCGUUCUGUUCGCCUCUACAACAAACUCAUGAGUGUUAGUGUAAAGAUUGAGCAGUAUUAUUGUGCCCUUGAUGUGUUCGAUGAAAUGCUUAGGAUGGGUGUUCCAGUUAAUUAUUACACAAGGAAUAUUGCUGUCAACUGUUGUUGUCUCUUGAAAGAUAUAUACUCUGCUUUUGCUGUAAUGGUAUUCUUUCUCAAGAGAGGUUACGGACCAGAUACUGUGACAUACGGCACUCUCAUUAAAGGGUUAUUCUUAGUUAAUAAGGAGGCUGAAGCCGUGAGAUUGUUCGAAAAGAUUGUGGAUUUAAAACUUUGCGAGCCAAAUGGUGUUAUGAUUCUGCAUGUGAUUGAUGGGCUGUGCGAAGCUGGACAGGUCCUUGAAGCCCAUGAUUGGUUUCAUAGAUUAGAAAGUAGUGGGUGGAGUCCCAACGUUAAAGCUUAUAGUGCACUAAUUGAUGGAUUUUGUAAGGGUGGAAUGGUGGAUAAUGCCUUCAAGGUUCUAAUCAAAAUGGUUGGGAAGGGUAUUUUACCUGACGUUGUCACUUAUAAUUCCAUGAUCAAUGCAUACUGUAAGGAAGAAAAGAUGGAAGAUGCUGAGAAUAUGUUGGAAAUUAUGACGCAACAAAGUAUUUAUCCUGAUGUCUUCACUUAUUCUUCGCUUAUUGAAGGUCUCUGCCUGAAGGGUGGAAUCGAAAAAGCGAAACAAUUACUUGAUUCGAUGGUAGAGAGGGGCCUUAAACCCAAUAUUGUUAACUAUAACACUUUGCUAAAUGGAUAUUGCAAGAAGGGAAGCGUGGAUGAAGCUUGGCUUAUUUUUCUUGAAAUUCCCGAUAAAGGUCUCGAGCAUAAUGUGCGAACUUAUAAUACAUUAUUGGAUGGGUUGUUGAAGCGUUGGAUGGUUGAUGAAGCUCUGCUUCUGCUGUCCGAGAUGGUGGAAAAGGGUAUCUCGCCUAAUGUUGUCACAUGCAGCAUAUUGAUAGAUGGAUAUUGCUCGGAUGGCAAGAUGGUUAGAGCUAGAGAGCUCUUCAAUUCUAUGGCAAAGACAGGUAUCAAGCCCAAUAUAUUCACCUACGAUAUCUUGAUUAAGGGAUACUGCAAGGCAAGAAACCUAGAAGAAGCGUGGCGUUUGUUUGAUGAAAUAUCGCGUGUAGGUCUCAGAUACUCUACCGUGUCAUACAACACAAUGAUGCACUGGGUAGUACGCCAAAGUAGAUUUUCAAACGGGUGGAAGCUUUUCGUGGAUAUGGAAGCUCAGAAGCUCCAUCCGGAUCUUUACACCUACAACAUCUUGUUGGAUGGCUUGUGUCGGAUCUGUCGGAUCGAUGAGGCGUUUGCGUUUUUUACGGUGAUGGAGGCGAAUGGCUUGAAACCUGAUAUCGCAACAUAUGGUGUUCUGAUCAACGGCUUAUGCAAGGGCGGAAGACUUGAUGAAGCUAUAAGGCUCUUCAACCAUCUCCCUUCCAAGGGCUUAAAUCCGAACGUACAAAUCUACAGCAUGAUGCUCGACUCCCUCUACCAUGAAGGACGUGAAGGGGAGGCGAGGAUGUUGAUGGUGGAGAUGGAGAGGAGUGGCUGCCCGCCUAAUGGCGUUACAUUCAACAUUAUUGUGUGGAAUCUGGUGAAGAGCAAAAAGGUGCAUGAGGCAAUACCUUUCUUGGAGGAGAUGUGCAGGAGAGGACUUGAGGUUAAUUCAGAGAUCAUUUCUGCAUUGCUUGAGGAACUCAGAAUAGGAGAAGUUAAUGAUAAAUUGCAAGAGAUUGUUAAGAAAGUUUGUGCUCAAAAUUGAGAGAGGUCUCAAUCUACUCUCAGCUUUUCUUUUGUCUCUAACACUUGGAUUAUUCAAGGGUUGUGCUAUGCUGGUAUAUUACAAGGGAAGCUGAGGCUGCGAAGAAGCCUUUGUGUUCCAUGGAAACACAGCUCGGGAGCACAGGGACAUCAAGCUGGCUCAGAUGAGAAGCGCCACGAAACUUCGUACACCAAGAUACUUUCUGUAACUAUCGGUAAGGAAAGCAAUGCUGCUUUUGCAGUUCGUCUCCGUGGUUUUCGUAUUGUUGGGAGAAUCGCAAGAGUGUAUUGGAAAAGUCAUGUGGUGACGGCUGGAAUUUGCGCGCUGCUUAGAACAGUUUGCGUUGUGACCACUCUGUUAUUUCCUUAUGCUUUUGUUAACUAUUCUAAUCUUGAGAAGAAAGAUCUCAAAAAGGGUGUUGUCUUGUUGGUUUCAGACCGAUCGAGAUUGAGGUCGUUUUCUGAGAUCCUCAACAACAUGAAGAAGAUCAUCAAGCUGCAGUCGUGCGUUAAUUAGGAUUUUAAUUUAUACGUAAAUGCGUUUGAAUUCAUAAUAAAAUAGGGUGAACUUAUGCAAAAACUCGAUUGGAGUUAAUUAGGAUUUUAGUUUGAAUUUAUUUAGUCGUUACUAAAAUUAUCGUAAAUGAACUUUACUGUAAUUGUGCAUGAAUAUGUACUUGUAAAAAUGAAAGUACAAUAAUUAGAUGGGGGAUUUUA